rnacentral:rRNA from 1 species
GAUGAACGCUGGCGGCGUGCCUAAUACAUGCAAGUCGAGCGAACAGACGAGGAGCUUACUCCUCUGACGUUAGCGGCGGACGGGUGAGUAACACGUGGAUAACCUACCUAUAAGACUGGGAUAACUUCGGGAAACCGGAGCUAAUACCGGAUAACAUGUUGAACCGCAUGGUUCAACAGUGAAAGACGGUCUUGCUGUCACUUAUAGAUGGAUCCGCGCCGCAUUAGCUAGUUGGUAAGGUAACGGCUUACCAAGGCAACGAUGCGUAGCCGACCUGAGAGGGUGAUCGGCCACACUGGAACUGAGACACGGUCCAGACUCCUACGGGAGGCAGCAGUAGGGAAUCUUCCGCAAUGGGCGAAAGCCUGACGGAGCAACGCCGCGUGAGUGAAGAAGGUCUUCGGAUCGUAAAACUCUGUUAUUAGGGAAGAACAAAUGUGUAAGUAACUAUGCACGUCUUGACGGUACCUAAUCAGAAAGCCACGGCUAACUACGUGCCAGCAGCCGCGGUAAGAC